rnacentral:rRNA from 1 species
UAGUAUGGGGAUCUGCCCGAUAGAGGGGGAUAACUACUGGAAACGGUGGCUAAUACCGCAUAAUGUCUACGGACCAAAGCAGGGGCUCUUCGGACCUUGCACUAUCGGAUGAACCCAUAUGGGAUUAGCUAGUAGGUGGGGUAAAGGCUCAUCUAGGCGACGAUCUCUAGCUGGUCUGAGAGGAUGAUCAGCCACACUGGGACUGAGACACGGCCCAG